UACGAAGGGGGCUAGCGUUGCUCGGAAUCACUGGGCGUAAAGCGCACGUAGGCGGCUUUCUAAGUCAGGGGUGAAAUCCUGGAGCUCAACUCCAGAACUGCCUUUGAUACUGGAGAGCUUGAGUCCGGGAGAGGUGAGUGGAACUCCGAGUGUAGAGGUGAAAUUCGUAGAUAUUCGGAAGAACACCGGUGGUGUAGACGGCUUACUGGACCAUAACUGACGCUGAGACACGAAAGCGUGGGUAGCAAACAGG
rnacentral:rRNA from 1 species